ACACCGUCAGCCUGGGGUGAAGCCGACCCAGCCUCCUCUGCCUCCAGAUCCCCUGGAGAGGGACGGACUGAGAUGGGUCCCUCCAACCCUGUGUUGCCAUCUGGUGGCUAGAAGCGGACGCGGGCCAUACACAGGAAGAAGCCAGGGCCGAAUGGCACGACAGAGGGUUGACGGGAACUCUUUCCUGUCCCGGACAGGGUCCUACCUGGGGUACGGCCCACUGGGCUUCCCGGGCCCGGAGCUACCGCCUCACCUGUGUGCACUGGCUCAGCAGAAGCUGGGAAGGGGCCAGGAUGCAGGCUCCGCCCCAUGCAGGCUCCACUCCCGGCCCCGCCCCGCGAGACGGACUGUCUACGGCCGCCUGUCCCGCCGCCCGGAACAGCGAAAGAGUGGGGACUUGGGAGUCUUCAGACCUAGGCCUUCCUGGCUCUGCUUCCUGCUCGUUGAGUGACCUGAGUCGGUUUCCUGCUUUGUUAUAAGAGAAUAAAUGAUAGCCUCGCAGGAUUUCGAGAUGACCUGAAAUGACGUUGUGAGGUGCCUGGCACGCAAGCGUCCCCUCCUCGGGGCCGCCUUCCCUGACUUCCCCAGACUGGACGAGUCAUGCACCCUCUCCACAACUGCAACCUUAUACUUGCUUAUGUUCAACUCUGCAUUUAAAUUUAUGUGAGAGCAGGCGCCGGAUUGCUGGUGUCCAUCCUUACACCCCGGCGCCGGUACAGUGCCUGGGCAUACCGCAAGAGUUCAACUACCUGCUCCUUCAUUCCGUCCAACGGGCGGUCGCUGUGGUUGAGCUGGAGCGGGCUCCGUGUCGCCAGUGGCCAGCAGAGGGCAGUGAUUACCCAGCCUUCUCACCCAGCCUCGCUCCGCUCUCCAUGCGCCCAA
rnacentral:lncRNA from 1 species